CCAUUUUUUAUGCAGGAUUUUGUUUCUUCAAUGGUAUGGGAAGAAGCCACCCAUUGAAGAGCGUUCCAGAAAUCUUCAGAGGAAGCCAUCCAUUGAAGAGCGUUCCAGAAAUCUUCAGAGGCUAUAGGCAAAGGAUGUACAGGGACGAUAUUCAACCAAAACGAUUAAAGCUUUUGCUUUGGCAGCUAAAAUGUACUUAUAAUACGGAAAUAAAAUUUGUAUAAAUAAAACUGAGUGACAUGUCCUACUGAUCUAGUUUACAAGAAUUGAUUCUAUCGAUGACAUUUAAAUCUAAGAAAAUUAUAGAUGUAUUGUCCUUUGUACGUAAGGAUCUUGCCUCACUCAACAAAAAAUUUGCUAUCUUUUCUGCCGAAUUCUCUUGAUUCAUGUCAUUUCGCUCCAUUGUCUGCAAAGAACAAAAUGUGACAUGAGAAUACAAUUAAUUUGGAACCAACUUCUCGAAUCAAUGCACAUAAUAAAACU
rnacentral:lncRNA from 1 species